rnacentral:rRNA from 1 species
AUUGAACGCUGGCGGCAGGCCUAACACAUGCAAGUCGAGCGGAUGAGGGGAGCUUGCUCCUGGAUUCAGCGGCGGACGGGUGAGUAAUGCCUAGGAAUCUGCCUGGUAGUGGGGGAUAACGUCCGGAAACGGGCGCUAAUACCGCAUACGUCCUGAGGGAGAAAGUGGGGGAUCUUCGGACCUCACGCUAUCAGAUGAGCCUAGGUCGGAUUAGCUAGUUGGUGGGGUAAAGGCCUACCAAGGCGACGAUCCGUAACUGGUCUGAGAGGAUGAUCAGUCACACUGGAACUGAGACACGGUCCAGACUCCUACGGGAGGCAGCAGUGGGGAAUGUUGGACAAUGGGCGGAAGCCUGAUCCAGCCGUGCCGCGUGUGUGAAGAAGGUCUUCGGAUUGUAAAGCACUUUAAGUUGGGGGGAAGGGCAGUAAGUUGAUACCUUGCUGUUUUGACGUUACCAGCAGAAUAAGCACCGGCUAACUUCGUG